rnacentral:lncRNA from 1 species
GGAAGACGAGUUAUUAUUCACUUGGGCGUGUGAAUGGGUGCGGGAAUGAUGUAUGGGAGGGUAUUCGGUGACUAGUGAACUUGAGGGUCGCGACUUUCUUGUGCCUCAGAAUCACCUAGAGGGCUGUUGAGGCUCGACAAGACCCCGGAUAUAAGGCUGGGUUGGAAUUCGCAUCUCUAACAGGCCGUAUCGUGGCUCACGGCUCCCGUCAGCCGCCUGCUUUCUGCCCUUCCAAGGAGUGUCGCUGGUGGAAUCCGCACCCUGCCUACAGGCCUUCCGGAAGCGCCGCUCACCGCGGAAACUACGUGCUCCUGACCUGGAAUGUGCCUGUUUCAGGAUCUCCACCUGGAGCUUCAGUGCUGUGCCCCAGGGUUGAAGAUUUUCAUCAAGGAUGA